UGCCCGCCGGAGUGCCGAAACCAAACUCUUGAUAUUUUAUGUCUCUCUGAGUAAACUUUUAAAUAAGUCAAAACUUUCAACAACGGAUCUCUUGGUUCUGGCAUCGAUGAAGAACGCAGCGAAAUGCGAUAAGUAAUGUGAAUUGCAGAAUUCAGUGAAUCAUCGAAUCUUUGAACGCACAUUGCGCUCGCCAGUAUUCUGGCGAGCAUGCCUGUUCGAGCGUCAUUUCAACCAUCAAGCUCUGCUUGCGUUGGGGAUCCGCGGCUGCCCGCGGUCCCUCAAAAACAGUGGCGGGCUCGCUAGUCACACCGAGCGUAGUAACUCUACAUCGCUAUGGUCGUGCGGCGGGUUCUUGCCGUAAAACCCCCCAAUUUCUAAGGUUGACCUCGGAUCAGGUAGGAAUACCCGCUGAACUUAAGCAUAUCAAUAAGCGGAGGAAAAGAAACCAACAGGGAUUGCCCUAGUAACGGCGAGUGAAGCGGCAACAGCUCAAAUUUGAAAUCUGGCUUCGGCCCGAGUUGUAAUUUGUAGAGGAAGCUUUUGGUGAGGCACCUUCUGAGUCCCCUGGAACGGGGCGCCAUAGAGGGUGAGAGCCCCGUAUAGUCGGAUGCCGAUCCAAUGUAAAGCUCCUUCGACGAGUCGAGUAGUUUGGGAAUGCUGCUCAAAAUGGGAGGUAAAUUUCUUCUAAAGCUAAAUACCGGCCAGAGACCGAUAGCGCACAAGUAGAGUGAUCGAAAGAUGAAAAGCACUUUGAAAAGAGGGUUAAAUAGCACGUGAAAUUGUUGAAAGGGAAGCGUUUGUGACCAGACUUGCGCCGUUCCGAUCAUCCGGUGUUCUCACCGGUGCACUCGGGACGGCUCAGGCCAGCAUCGGUUUUGGCGGGGGGACAAA
rnacentral:rRNA from 1 species